rnacentral:rRNA from 1 species
GGGACCCGCACAAGCGGUGGAGCAUGUGGUUUAUUCGAUGCAACGCGAAGAACCUUACCUGGUCUUGACAUCCCAGGAAUCCUGCAGAGAUGCGGGAGUGCCUUCGGGAACCUGGAGACAGGUGCUGCAUGGCUGUCGUCGGCUCGUGUCGUGAGAUGUUGGGUUAAGUCCCGCAGCGAGCGCAACCCUUGCCCUUAGUUGCCAUCAUUAAGUUGGGAACUCUAAGGGGACCGCCGGUGACAAACCGGAGGAAGGUGGGGAUGACGUCAAGUCAUCAUGGCCCUUAUGACCAGGGCUACACACGUGCUACAAUGGUCGGUACAGAGGGUCGCCAACCCGCGAGGGGGAGCCAAUCCCUUAAAACCGAUCGUAGUCCGGAUCGCAGUCUGCAACUCGACUGCGUGAAGUCGGAAUCGCUAGUAAUCGCGAAUCAGCCAUGUCGCGGUGAAUACGUUCCCGGGUCUUGUACACACCGCCCGUCACACCAUGGAAGUUGAUUGCACCAGAAGUAGGUAGCCUAACCGCAAGGAGGGCGCUUACCACGGUGUGCUCAAUGACUGGGGUGAAGUCGUAACAAGGUAGCCGUAA